UCUUUUGGAAUCUCUUCAACUUAGUUGGUGUUGGAAACCAGAAGCUCAUUGAGAACAUGUGGUGCCUACCUUCUUGACAUGAAAUUUCUGCCUCCUCUCCUGCUUCCAUUUCCCACUCUCUGAAGGGCUCUAGAAGUCUUUGAUUUUUGCAAAUGUCUAUCCAUUCUUGGGGCUCCGGACAGCUUCUUGACACCUUCUUGAAGCUAUCGGUUGGGACUUCUCAUCUUUCUCUAAAGAGAAUAUGGGGAGCUGAAGUGUAACUGAAGUGGGUCUUCUGGAAACUUGAAGCUGAAGGUAGAUUUACUGUCAAGAAAACUUUUCAAAGUAUUUAACUCACAUUUCAUCUUUUAUUUCUGACCAUUAUACUUAGAUGUACAAAUGUGGUGCACGUUCCCCUCCUUGUUUCCACUUACUGUUGUCAUAAAAGAUUACAUACAUAAUUAAAUUGGUUAAAUUCUAAUAGUCUACAAAUAUUUGAAGGAUGCGAUGAACCUUCUAAACUAUUUUUGAGGUUACUCAUUACUUCAAUCAAUUAAUGUUUGUUUAAAUGCAAACACAGCUGUUUCAUAUGUUUGUUUGGUUUUUACCCCUCUCAUGAGGGACUCAUGAAGUGAGCAAACGAAACACAUUGGGUUGACAAACCUUAUUUCUUCAAAGCCCAUAAUCUCAAAUG